rnacentral:rRNA from 1 species
UACGUAGGGGGCAAGCGUUGUCCGGAUUUAUUGGGCGUAAAGAGCGUGUAGGCGGCCAGAUAGGUCAGCUGUGAAAACUCGAGGCUCAACCUCGAGCUGUCGGCGGAAACCAUCCGGCUAGAGUCCGGAAGAGGCGAGUGGAAUUCCCGGUGUAGCGGUGAAAUGCGCAGAUAUCAGGAAGAACACCAAUGGCGAAGGCAGCUCUCUGGGACGGUACUGACGCUGAGACGCGAAAGCGUGGGGAGCGAACAGG